UUAAUUGAAGCCAAAAAGAGGCCUUUCAUUGUUAAUGAAAAAAAUGAUUCAUAAUCCAAUUAAA
rnacentral:tRNA from 1 species